rnacentral:lncRNA from 1 species
CCAGCAAGUUUAAAUACAACAAUAUAACGAUAUAUCAUGAUUGAAGAGUAUGGAUAAUAAGCUGGUUAUAAUUCAUCAAUAUAAUUGAGAACUAGCAGGAACAAACUUUUGACUGAACAAGUUUUAAACAUAAACAAACAUUUCUGAACCAACUGGUAAUGAAUGUGAUCAGCCUUUCAUACCUGACUUAUACAUGCAAGAUGUACAGAGUACAAUUUUCAUCGCAAUCAGCAAUGAUUUAACCAUAAGCUUGAAUAAAACACUCUUAUUAGAGUUAAG